GGUUGUGUAGUGUAAUGGUUAGCACCCGGGAUUUUGAUUCCCGUAAUCCCGGUUCGAUCCCGGGCAUGACCU
rfam:Aspergillus aculeatus ATCC 16872 unplaced genomic scaffold ASPACscaffold_8, whole genome shotgun sequence.